rnacentral:rRNA from 1 species
GUGCCAGCCGCCGCGGUACUACUGGCAGCCCGAGUGAUGGCCGAUCUUAUUGGGCCUAAAGCGUCCGUAGCUGGCUGCGCAAGUCCGUCGGGAAAUCCACUCGCCCAACGAGUGGGCGUCCGACGGAAACUGCACAGCUUGGGACCGGAGGACCCGAGGGGUACGUCCGGGGUAGGAGUGAAAUCCCGUAAUCCCGGACGGACCGCCGGUGGCGAAAGCGCCUCGGGAGGACGGAUCCGACGGUGAGGGACGAAAGCUAGGGUCUCGAACCGGAUUAGAUACCCUGGUAGUCC